rnacentral:rRNA from 1 species
AUUGAACGCUGGCGGCAGGCCUAACACAUGCAAGUCGAACGAGUGGCGGACGGGUGAGUAAUGUCUGGGAAACUGCCUGAUGGAGGGGGAUAACUACUGGAAACGGUAGCUAAUACCGCAUACCAUCGGCUGUGCCCAGAUGGGUGUAUCUAGUGGGUGGGGUAAAGGCUCACAUAGGCGAGGAACCCUAGCUGGUCGGAGAGGAUGACCGGCCAACCUGGAAUGGAGACCCGGCCCAGACUCCUACGGGGGGCAGCAGGGGGGAUUAUUGGACAAUGGGCGCAAGCCUGCUGCAGCCCUCCCGCGUGUGUGAGGCAGGCUUUCGGGUUUUAAAGUACUUUCAGCGGGGCGGCGUUACCCGAAGAGGAAGCAACGGCUAACUCCGUGCCAGCAGCCGCGGUAAUUC